GGAGCUCAGUGGUAGAGCAUUUGCCUGGCAUGCAGAAGGUCUCUAUUUCAAUCUCCAGAACCU
rnacentral:tRNA from 1 species